rnacentral:rRNA from 1 species
AGUGAACGCUGGCGGUAGGCCUAACACAUGCAAGUCGAACGGCAGCACAGUAAGAGCUUGCUCUUACGGGUGGCGAGUGGCGGACGGGUGAGGAAUACAUCGGAAUCUACUUUUUCGUGGGGGAUAACGUAGGGAAACUUACGCUAACACCGCAUACGACCUACGGGUGAAAGCAGGGGAUCUUCGGACCUUGCGCGAUUGAAUGAGCCGAUGUCGGAUUAGCUAGUUGGCGGGGUAAAGGCCCACCAAGGCGACGAUCCGUAGCUGGUCUGAGAGGAUGAUCAGCCACACUGGAACUGAGACACGGCCCAGACUCCUACGGGAGGCAGCAGUGGGGAAUAUUGGACAAUGGGCGCAAGCCUGAUCCAGCCAUACCGCGUGGGUGAAGAAGGCCUUCGGGUUGUAAAGCCCUUUUGUUGGGAAAGAAAAGCAGCAGGUUAAUACCCCGCUGUUCUGACGGUACCCAAAGAAUAAGCACCGGCUAACUUCGUG